ensembl:lncRNA
UAAUUGGGGGUUAAUUAAGGGCGGGGUUAAUUAGGGGAGGGGUUAAUUGGGACAGUUAAUGUUUGGGUAUUUGGGGGUGGGGCUUGAUAUGUUAAUUAGGGCUGGGGUUUAAUUUGUUAAUUAGUGGGGGUGGUAAUUAGGGGUGGGUGUUAAUUGGGCUGGGCUUAAUUGGGGAGGAGAUUAAUUAGGAUAGAGGUGAAUUAAUGAUGGGGUUAAUUAGUAAAAGUUAAUUAGUUAAUUAGCUCUGAGGGUUAAUUAGGGGUUAGUUAGCAUAAGGGGUUAAUUGGAAAUGGGGGUUAAUUAGGGGUAGGGUUAAUUAACAUAGGGGUUGAAUGGAAAUAAGGGUUAAUUAGGGGUGGAGCUUAAUUGGGAUUGGCUUAAUUAGAGGUGGGGCUUAAUUGGGGGGUUAAUUAGAACCAGGGUUAAUUAGGGGUGUGGCUUAAUUGGGGGGUUAAUAAGAUCCAGGGUUAAUUAGGGGUGGAGCUUAAUUAGAAGCUAUGGUUUAAUUGGGGUGGGAGUUAAUUAGGGGAGUAGAUAAUUGGGAGAAUUAAUUAAGAUUUUGGUAAUUAGGGGCGGGGCUUAUCUCAUUAAUUGAGGGGUUUAAUUGGGGUUAAUUAGGGGAGGGGUUAAUUGGGAGAAUUAAUUAAGAUUUGGGUAAUUAGGGGCGGGGCUUAAUUCAUUAAUUAGAUGUUGGGGGUUAAUUAGGGGAGGGGUUAAUUGGGAGAAUUAAUUAAUAUUUGGGUUAUUGGGGUGGGGCUUAACUCAUUAAUUAGGAAUGGGGGUUAAUUAAAGAUGGGUUAAAUUCGGGGUGGGGCUAAUUAAGGGUGGGGCUAAUUAGGGGUGGGGCUUAAUGGGUGAAGCUUAAUUAAGGUGGGCCUUAAGGAGGCGUGGCUAAUUAGGAAGGGGCGGGGCUUAGUUAGGAAGCAUUAAUUAAUCAUUAGGGUUUUUAAAUGGUGGGCGUGGCCUAAUUAGGGGUGGAGCUUGGUGUAUUUAAAUGAAGUGGGCGUGGCCUAACGCGGUUUUCCCUCCUCUCCCAGCUCUCCCGGCGGCCUCGUUGGCCACGCCCACUCCCGCCGGAGGCCCCGCCCCCGUGGCCGCGGCCACGCCCACCCUGGGCAAAGGGGCGGGGCCGGCCCCUCCCCCGCCCGUGGCCGCCUUCGCGCUGCCCCAGCGGCUCCUGCUGGCCCCGGACAUGCAGGCCCGGCUGCCCUCGGGCGAAGUCGUCAGCCUGGGCCAGCUCGCCGCCCUCGCCCAGCACCGCGCCCCCCCCGCAGGGGGCGUGGCCAAACCUUCGCCCCUCCCACCGAGCGCCGUGGCCCCGCCCCCUCCGGCCUCGGCCCCGCCCCCUCUGACGUUGCAGCUGACGGGCAGCAAAGUCACGCUUGGCCCCGCCCCCUCCCUGCGGGGGCUCGCGCUGGCCCCGCCCCCCGGCCGGGGGGAUCCCANNNNNNNNNNNNNNNNNNNNGAGGUUUGGGGAAAAUUUGGGAAUUUUGGGGAGGGGAUUGGGAAAAAUUUGGGAAUUUUGGGGGGGAAUUUUUAGGGGUUUUGGGCUUUUUUUAGGUUUUUUUGCCGAUUUUUUGAGCAUUUUGGGGGGGAAAAUUUGGGGAUUUUGGGGGAAAAUUUGGGAAUUUUGGGAAUUUUGGGAAUUUUUGGAGGUUGGGGGAAAUCUGGGAGUUUUUGGGGGAUUUUUUGUGAGUUUUUUUGGGUUUUUUUAAAAUUUUUUGGGGUUUUUUUUGGAAUUUUUUUGGGCUUUUUUUGCGAUUUUUGGAGCAUUUUUGGGGAGAAAAUUUGGGGAUUUUGG